CGGUGGGCUGCGUGCCGCGCGCGGUUGCGGGUCCAGCCCCAUCCCGGGGCUGCUGCGUGACCUUGGGAGAGCAGCUUUUGCGGAAAGAGGGAAUGCCGUGCCCCUUGGAGUGAACGGAUGCUCGUAAACCGCGAAGAACGCGCCGGGAGCAGACACAGUGGGGGACGACGCGGGCAUCUGCUGUGCGCCUGGCCUGACCCACGUGUUGUUGCCUAGGGAAAGCUAAUACUUUGACUCUAGUCAAUAUUAUUUAAAUGUUUCCUUUCGCCUGUUGAAGGAGAGGCAGAGUUCAGCUGCUGUCCCGCCGAUUAUGAGCCUGCCCUGAAGUAGAGAAUGAAAGGAUGGUCCCCAUUUCAACUGUCCUACCUGCUGUAAAUUCCCCACUUGGGGAAUGAGAGAGAGCUCAGCGUUUGUAUGCCAAGGCUCCAGACUUCAGCUUGAGGAUUUCCUCUUGGAAGCGCCACAGUUUUUCCCAAUUCCCCCGGGGGUGACCAUUCUCCAAAGCAGGGAACUAUCCCAACGGAAAGGAUUUAAGGAAGGACUGAACAUAGCCUGAAUUCAUUCGAAUGCAUUUUCUCUCUGGCUCUGAAGGACUUUCCUGCCCGGAUUUCCAGUCUACCUUAAGAGUGCAGGCUUCUAAAAUCAGGGAUGACACUUUCUCCUCAAUCAAAUAUUAGCUCAGUUGACAUUGGAGAGCAAUCAGACAAGAGAAUCUUCUCGUUAUUAAUAAUUCAGUUAUUUAGAAGUGACAUGUCCCUAGAUGCAAGUCCAGUGCACCAUCUGGCAGCAUAGCAGGGCCAUUCAUCUGAAGCUGCAGAGCCCUAGUGGUCUACCCAAACCCUGAAAGACUGGCUCAUCUGGAUUCCAUUAGCAUCUGUACCUCCUCCAUCAGAGCACUGAGCAUAUCUUGUUGCAUGCACAUGGCAGGUGUGAAAAGACACUGCUCAGAUGCACAGUUGCUGUCCUGCUAGGCAUAAUGCUUUAGUAAAGCCAAGGCCAUAUGUCCCUUGGGCUGCUCCCAGUCAGGGGCUAAACAUAGUGGAGGUGUGAAACCAGGUUCAUUGCUUUUACACAUGAGAUUGCUCUGUUGAAAGAUGUGGCAACCAAAGUAUAUAGAGAAACUCACAGCUCCACAAUAGGAAAGCAGAAAAUGGGCCCAAAAAAUCUGAACAGACAUGUCACAAGUAAGUCAGCUAUGCACGGCAGAUAAGUACUUGAAAAGAUAUUUAACAUCAUUAGUUUUAAGAAAAUGCAAACUAAAACUAUAAUGAGAUACCAUUACAUGCCUGUUAGAAUGGUUGAUGCUAAAAAUGCUCAAAAGACCAAGUUUUAGGGAGAUGGAGCAAGUGGACCACUCAUGCACACUGCUGGUGAGACAGUUGAACGAUGCAGUCAUUUUGGUGAUAUACCCAUAUAGAUUGUAUGACUCAACCAUUCCGCUCUUACAUAGUGACGUGGGAUAAAAGAAAGCACAUGCCCAUGGAAUGCUCAUAGAAGCCUUACUUGUGACAGUCAAAAACUGGAAACAUAGGACACAAAAUCGGUAUUAAACAAUCAAUACCAGUAAUGAACUAACAGAGAAAGAAAUCAAGAACACAGCCCCAUUCUUAACAGUUUCCAAAAAACAUGACAUAGUAUUAUGGUUUAUAUCUAGAUGUCCCCAGAGAGCUUCAUAUACUUAUGGGUGGGGCUUUUCAGAGGGGAAUGGAUUAUGAAAGUUUAGAGCUCGGUUAGGUUGCAGGGUC